UAGAGUAGGGGCAGCUCUGGGUUACCUGACAAAUUAUGAUUCUAGUGCUGAAAGCAGACCGUGAGCUUGUUGCCAAACCUGAUGUC
ensembl:misc_RNA